GCUCCGGUAGCUCAGUGGAUAGAGCAGAAGCCUUCUAAGCUUUUGGUCGCAGGUUCGAUUCCUGCCCGGAGCA
rnacentral:tRNA from 1 species